UUUCCGUAGGUGAACCUGCGGAAGGAUCAUUACUGAGUGAGGGCCCCUCGGGGUCCAACCUCCCACCCGUGUUUAACGAACCUUGUUGCUUCGGCGGGCCCGCCUCACGGCCGCCGGGGGGCAUCUGCCCCCGGGCCCGCGCCCGCCGAAGCAACCUGUGAACGCUGUCUGAAGUAUGCAGUCUGAGACAAUAAUUAAAUUAAUUAAAACUUUCAACAACGGAUCUCUUGGUUCCG
rnacentral:misc_RNA from 1 species